rnacentral:rRNA from 1 species
UACGUAGGGGGCAAGCGUUGUCCGGAUUUAUUGGGCGUAAAGAGCGUGUAGGCGGUCAGGUAGGUCCGUUGUGAAAACUCGAGGCUCAACCUCGAGACGCCGAUGGAAACCAUCUGACUAGAGUCCGGAAGAGGAGAGUGGAAUUCCUGGUGUAGCGGUGAAAUGCGCAGAUAUCAGGAGGAACACCCGUGGCUAAGGCGGCUCUCUAGUACGGUACUGACGCUGAGACGCGAAAGCGUGGGGAGCGAACAGG